CGAUCGUCCCACCUCAGCCUCCUGAGUAGUUGGAACUACAGACACAAAGAGCGGCUGUUAGAGGAUCUGAGGAGUUUGAACUGCGGAGAAUUUGAUCACAUAACUGUUUGGAAUUACCACAACUCCAAGGUGUAUCGGAGAUUGUUAUACGUCUCGAAGAGACAGGAAACUGAGGCAAUCAAGAUGGAGCCUAUUGGAAUGAUAUGUGCCAGCUGGGAUUUGUGCCUCCUUACACUGGCAGAGAGAAGAGUGUGAAGCCUGCUUGGAGAAGUGGAGGAGGCUGAAAAGAAGGCAAAGAGUGAAAACAGUGAAAGGAGGUGGAAGAGGGGAUAAAAACACGGAUAAGAGAAUGCCAUGGUGGUGCUGAGAAGGAAACAAGAGACUUUUUUGCUUGUAAAGGGCAGAAGAUGGCAGAAUCCAGCGACGCAGGGGCAUCUGGCUCUAGAAAUAAUAGGUCACUUGGCACCCACUCCUUCAAAACGGUGUGCUGGGGUAGACAAAGGAUUGCAAACCACUUAUCCAGGGUUGAAAAAUCCUUGAGUUCUGUGCAGCUGCUGCCACUUCCUGUGUUGAUUCCAAGAGAAAUAUAGAGAUCCUGCCCCCUUUGGCAUUGGCAUCUGAAUAAUUUCAUUCUCAAGACCAGAGGAAGAAGUCUGAGGAGGUACAAGUUAGAGAAUGACUUCUUAGGAUCCAGCACAUUUGUGGUUUAACCUGCAAACCCCAAGGGAGCAUCCUCAGCCACAUAGGAGAAAAUGUCACCUACUUAGGCUUGAGGCUUUAAUGUCUUGGUCAUAUCAAAAGUUCUAGUUCCUGGCACCUUAGAUCUGCUUGUGUUUUUGAACUUAAUCUAAAAAUGAUGGGUGGGGGAAAUCGGAAGAGGCCAAUGUGUAACAAUUGUUGAGAGACAAGAUGAAGGCCACGUAGCAUGGUGAUCAAGAGAGCACUCUCUGCUGUGGUACUGAACUGCCUGGGUUAAAAUCCUGUUUCUGUCACUUCAUAACUUAGUCAAGUUACUUAAUGACUUUAUGCCUCUGUUUUCUCAAGUAGACUUGUUUGUCCUAACCACACUCAAUCAGAUUUUGAGCAUAGAUAGCCAUUCUAGAAUGUUUUGGUCUGAUUGGUCAGUCUCUCCAUUUAGAAAAGCUACAUGAUAUGGGCAGUUAAAUUAUAAUCAGAAAGUUACAUGGAACACAUAAAAUCUGUUUAUAAGUAGAUUACAUGGGAUGCCAAACUUGAUGGUCAAAUGCACUCAUCAUCUCUUAAAAUAAAUAUACAGAUUUGUAGAUCAGAGGGUCAUCUUUGCUAAAUAGUGAAGAAGACACAAGGAAAAUGUUGCUUUUUGGGUUAUGCUUGUCUAGAUUCUAAGCAGUCUGUUUCUCUUCCAUUAACAGCUUCUACUUUCAGAUAGAAUAAACUUUACUUUUAUUCAGGCUUAUUAGUUGCAACUGCACUCUACUCUUGUUUUCCCUGAGUCUACAUGCUAUUUUCUUGAUUCAAUUUAGAGGUCCUCAAAUUUCAGUCACGCAAUUACAGAUACUCUUCUAGAGCAAUGCUACUCAAAUUUUAAUGUGUACAGAAACUACCUGGAUAUUUUGUUGAAAUUCAGAAUCUGACUUAGUAGGUCUGGGGUGGGGCCUGAGAUUCCAUAUUUCUAAGCUCCAAGUGAUGUUGAUGCUCCUGGCCCAUGGAUUCACUGUUAGCAGCAAGUUUGUAAAUUAUCUGUGUGGAUUCUAAUGACAUCCAUUGCCUAUAAACUUUUCCUGAUUUUACAUUUGGAGAAAAAUAUAAUCUCUAAGUUCUUGGAGUCCAUAUGGAAAAUGCAAGUGGAAAGGGAAGUGGAAAGAGGGAGGGCGUAAUUUACCAUUCUACACAGGAAACUCACUUCUCUGUGUACUAAUAGCAAAUGACUUACCUGAUCAUCUCAUAUGGCUAUUAGGAUGUUUGUGGGUGCUUUAUAAGUGUGAAGAGAUGCACAGAGUGACUGGCUAUGCACCUCUUAAUAAAUGCUGCUGAUUCCUGGCUAUGUAGAUUGUCCAUGUGAGAAGAAACUGGAAGCAAAACGAUGACUAUAAUUUAGAGCAUCUGUACUUGUCUUUUGAUAUGGGCUUCCUUCGAAGUCACUACUGUUUUCUGCCUGUAAUGUCUAGGACAGAGUGCCACUCCCAAUGAGUAAGUUUUUAUCCUUGGUUUUAGCUUCUCUGAAGGUUGACUCCCUGUCUCUGAACAAACUGCCAAAGUGUAGUUUUUUAACACCAAAAUUUCUGUUUUAAGUCAGAAUGUCUCAAACAUGUCUUCUAUAUUUGGUGAAAAAUCUGUUUUUCUUUUUCUACCUGAUGGGGUAAUAGAGAAACAGGUUUGCUUUAUUUACACAUAGUAUUUUUAGGGAUUGUUGUUGAAUAACAAUUAUAAUAAUAAUUACCAUGUUUUGAGUUCCUACAUUGUACUAUGAACUGUUACGUACUUUAUAUACAUUUGGGUUUUUUUUCCUAAUCAUUAGAAUAACCUUGAAAGUAAGGAUUUUGUAUUGCUCGGGACAUGUUCAACUAAGUUGCAGAAACAAAGAACUGCUAAAAUUUCAGUGUUUUAGCAAAACAAAUGUUGAUCACCCUGUCAUACAAGUCCAAUGCUGGUCAGCAAAGAUUCUUCAUCUUACGAAACCAUUAUCUUAAUUUGGUUCUGGGUCUUAAUUUAUAAAGAUGACUGAGUGAUAACAUGGAAUGGUCAAUGCCAUUGGAAGAAAAGCGUAUAGUUCCCCAGGUCCUCUGGAAAUGGGAAGUACAGGGCACCACAUAGGACCACGUGGGGAGGCACAGAGUCAGUCAGGAGGCAGAAGCAGGCACGAGGGGAAGGUCUGGCCCAGAGGCUUCCUCAUGUUUUCUCAUGGAAAGGCAAGGCAGGGCAGGCGAAGCAUCUUAGGAUUGGAUAGUUGGAAUAAUGUUGGGGUGCGCUGGGCUACUAGAGGUGGGUUCUGGGCCCUAGUUUUCUGGCACCCAGCCCUGGGUGAUUUAGGGCAGGGAAAAUUGUGGCUCGGUAUGUAAGAGUUAGAUAAAGAGAGCAGUAGGAGGUAUGGACUCAGGAUUGUUUUGUUUGUGAUUUGAUUUUUUUGUGCUGGUAAAAGCUGGAUCGCAGGGGAGAUGUAAACAGCUUUGGCCAUUAGUUGGCCUGUGAUUGAUGGAUGUCACACAGAAAAAUAAAAAAUCUAAGAAAAUACAGAAAACAUCUCAACACAUGGCCUCUGAGCUUACCGUAGCAGAAGGAGAGAGAGUUGGAGCUCCCAAUGGGGGUAUUUUAGGAAUUAAAUCUCCUUCUUCAUAGCCCAGUUCUCCUGGCUCCAAGCUCACUGCAAGGAAGGCUGAGAAAUGUUGUCGUUUUGCUGUCCAGGAAAAGGAAAAUAAGAUGGGAUUUGGUGAACACAUCUAUGUUGUCUCUGCCACACUAUAAUUACCUCCAACUUGUAAAAGAGUAAACUGUGGUUCUGAUUCAUUGUGACUUAGCCAAAGUAUUCAUUUUUCAAAUGGCAGAGCCAGGGCUUGAAUCCAGGCAUUCCAAAGUGAUCUUCUUUCCCUGUGUCACAGGACCUUUGAAUUGAAUAUAAUAAUCCUGAUGACGAUAGAUAAAAUAGGCCGACAUCGUAUUUUAUAGAUUCCUAAUUGAGAAGGAACUCUGGAUUAUUAUUAGUGUGAAGGCCAUUAGAUAGUUGAGCUAAGACCUUAGGAUCCAGUGUGUUCGGAUUAAGGUCUGACAUUCAGAGCAUUGAAUACAAAGUAAAGUGUCUGACUUUUCAGUUACAUUAUCAAAAGUUGAAGAUCAACAGCCAGGGAGAUUAAAACAGCUGGGUAAAUAACAGUUAAGUUUUAAAAUUUUUCUCGGAAGAGAGGUAUAAAGAGCACAGUCUUAUCCCUAGCAGGUACUUUUUGGUGGUAAGAGUCUGAGCCACCAUCCUCAGGGUCACCACCUCACAUUCUUGCCAGUGCUACCUUGAUAAGAUAAUGGGGAGUCACCUUCAACUGAGCUGAUGGUAAGAUCAGGGAAGGUACAGUCCAACACAAGUGGUGCAGAAAGUCCCCAGUUUUUACCACAGUGAGUUCCUGGAAGCUAUGUCAUAAAGCAGACCAUUAUGAAGUGGGUCGUAUUUUGCCAAAUAAAUAAUGCCACACAUUGGGUGAGGGAUGUGCUACUGAUCAAAAACUAAUUCUCAAUUAAGUCAAACAUAUGAGCAGAUGAUUUUUGAAAACAAGAGUAUAUAAACUAUACAAUUCUAUUAUAACUUUAAAACAGUAAUGCCAGCCUUUAGAUUGUAUUAAAUGGACACAAACAUAGAGUUCACAUUGAAUUUGAAUAGAAUUUCAAUAGAGUGUGUCUAUAAUACAUACAUCUCUACUGUUCUUUAAAUGUGACUGCUAUUAAUAAUUUUAUUUGCAACUUUAGAAUAUAAAGUUUUGUUGAUUUUAUCCAGAUGGCUCAUAUCUCUUUAAGAAAAUAUAGUCUUUCUCUUGUCUUCUUCUGCCUGAGGAGGUCUGAGGUGAAAUAAAUAUAUAUAUAUAUAUUCAAAUAUAUAUAUAUUCAUAGCUCUGUGACAUUCCUAAUAUUAAGUAUGCAUUUUCGGAAUCAUUCUAUGGGUUUAUUGAGUAGAGAGAGAGGUAUACUUGGAAAAUGUGCACCUGUCCACAAUAGGGUCAUCUAUCUACAACAAGGAUUUUCUACAAUAGAGAAAUGGCAAGGAUUGACUCUGGGCUUAAACCAGUUCAAAAAAAAUGAAUAAAUUCCUCCCUUAGGCUUGGCAUCAAUAUAUAUGAGAUGGAUCUUGUUUCAAUUAUUGGGUCUAACUUCCUUCAUAAUUCAUAGAAAAUAUUUCAUUAACUCAAAUAUUUCUACAUUAAAACCAUCUGCUAAUAAUUCAGCAAUUCCACUCCUAGCUAUAUACAUAAGAGAAAUGAAAGUUGUAUUCUCCAAAAAAUCUGUUAGCAUUACUCAUAACAGCCAAAAAGUGUAAGCAACCCAAAUGUCCAUCAAAGAUAAAUGAAUAAAUAAACCGUACUAUAUCCAUAUAAUGGAAUAUUAUUUGGCCAUAAGAAUAAAUGAAGUACUGAUACAUGUUCAACACAAAUGGGCCUUUAGAAACAUCAUGCCAGCUGAAGGAAACCAGUCACAAAGGACUAAAUAUUGUGUGGUUCUAUUUAUAUGAAAAGUCCAGAACAGGCAAAUCUAUAGGGACAGAAAGUAAGUGAGUGGUUGUGAGUGGCUGGGACAUAGGGUGGGUGGAGGUUGAAAUUAAGGCUAUGAGAUAUGGGAUUUCUUUUUGAGGUGACAAAAAUGCUCUAAAAUGUAUUGGAAUGAUGGUGGCACAAGUUGGUGAGCCACUGAAUCGUACGCUUUGAAUAACUGAAUGUAUGGUAUGGGAAUUAUAUGUCAAUAGAGCUGUUAAAACAACAACGGUUCCAUCCGCUAGACAGCUCACCACCUCAAGAAGCAGUGAAAAACUCCUUUUCACAUCAUAUGUCCUGAUUUGGGGACCAAAAAUGUGGAAUUUUUAACAGCAUUCCUGAUAUUCGGGUGUGAAGGAAGGAAAACAUAUAAAUGACAUAACUUCAGCUCAUACAGAGUUUAAAAUAUUGUUGAAGUGGUGAGAAUUACAUCAAGGAACACUUGGAGAACACACUCCCACUUGCUAUCGUCCUUAUGACUUUUUUUGGCUCUGGUUGUUAGGUCAGAGUAUUAUUUUUUUUUGGUCCAAAGUGAUGCAUUUUUGAUAUAUUCAUUCCAUAGAUGCCUAUAAGCACCUGCUGCAUUUCAGAUACCAUGCUUAUAAAGGAGGACUGCUGUUUCAUCUUCUGUCUCUCCUCAAAAUGUCAUGGUCCAGGGCAAUAAUGGAAUAAACGCCAAGGCUACCUCUUCCAGAAGUAUCAUGGAUGCUGGAAAGGGCUCUGUGAUGAGACUCAGGAGGCCUGACUAGUUUGGGCCUGACUACCCAUUGCCUCUGUUUUCUUGGGCAAGUCAUUUAUCUCUGAAUCAUAGUUUACUUUCUUUGUAAAAUGAGAGGGCCGGUUUCUCUCAUGUUCUUUCCAACUCUAUAUACUAUUAGGUUGCAUAAGAUGCUGAUAUUGGUCAUUUUAGAAAGCAUUUUCCCCUUUCUGUUGCUUUUAAGGACAGAAAAUGAAUGCGUCUAAAAAGAGAAACUCUUUCUAUAAUUUGUUACACAAAUAAUGUGCAUUUGCCAUGAUGAUCUGAAACCCCAAGGUUUUAUGGUAAGCAGUUAUUACCUUACCUCCUACUUGAAUAUGUGUGAGUAAAUUGCAUGCAGAUUUGAAUAGUGCUGCUGGGAAGGCAAUUUCUUUCUCCUCCCAGAUAGUAUUAGGAUAGUGUCCUUUGCCUAUUGUGCUACAUUUAUUUAUAAUUUUAGGAAGAGGAAAAUUAAUAAUGAAACUUGAAUAAUUACCCAUCAAAUGUUACCGGUUUCCACAUACCCCAUUAUUGAAGACUCAUUUAUUUAUCUCUUGCCAUCUGUUGGCAUUUGAUCAAAAACCAAAAGAUGCAAAAAUGAGUCAUGGCUUACUCUCUCUCAGUACCCUUUACCUUUAUGGCUGUGAGUGAGAGAGAAGGUGUGUCAUACCCAAACCCACUGAUAGCCAGUAACAGAGGAAAUGAAGGGAACUCUUCAAAGCCCAAAGCAAGAAUGUGCAUUUGUUGUGGUAACUACCUUGGAAAAUGAAAGUUUGAUGUUGUUUUCCUGUGAUAACUAUUUUGAUUCUCCAGCUAUACUCUUACAAGGGGAGGAAAAGCAGGGAACAGAGGGCAUUUUUAUAGGACAUAUUAUAUUCCCUGAGAUAAUAAAAUGUCUACAUAUUCCACAUGCUCUUGGGAACAUUGACUUCUGGUGCCACUGGACAAAGAUACCUCUGUGUGUCUUUGAAUGUACCUGCUACAAAGGGAGAAUCAGGCAGCCUUUCCUACUGUAAGGGUGGCUGCAUUCAACCAAGAGCAGACAAGACUUCUCUGCUGGAACUAGGACAAGGUAGCUGUUGUAGGUGGGGGAACCCAUCCCACAGCAAAUGUGAAUAGUAGCACAAAAGCAUUUUUAAAACUUUGAAUCAGAUACCCAAAUUUUGGAGGAAGCCUAGAAGUCAUCUACUGUAAUCCCCUGUUUUACAGGCAAAGAGACACAGGAAGGUGAAGUGACUUCUUCAGGGUCCCACAGCCACUCGUAGAGAUCAGCACCUUGAUCUCUUGAAGCUAAAUUUCAUGUUUCUUACAGGGGGUUAUUUAGAAUAGAUCAGAUAAUAGUUUCAUAUAUAUAUAUAUAGAGAGAGAGAGAGAGAG